CGCAAGAUUAAAACUCAAAGGAAUUGACGGGGGCCUGCACAAGCGGUGGAGCAUGUGGUUUAAUUCGACGCAACGCGAAGAACCUUACCUGGCCUUGACAUGCAGAGAACUUUCCAGAGAUGGAUUGGUGCCUUCGGGAACUCUGACACAGGUGCUGCAUGGCCGUCGUCAGCUCGUGUCGUGAGAUGUUGGGUUAAGUCUCGCAACGAGCGCAACCCCUAUCCUUAGUUGCCAGCAUUAAGUUGGGCACUCUA
rnacentral:rRNA from 1 species